AUUUGAAAAAGGCAAAUCUAUCGAAAGGUGGAGACGCAAAGUCACAGACCUACAGUGAAAUUUACUAUGGUGGCUGGGCCGCUGAA
rnacentral:ncRNA from 1 species